GGAUGAACGCUGGCGGCGUGCCUAAUACAUGCAAGUCGAGCGAACAGACGAGGCGCUUGCUCCUCUGACGUUAGCGGCGGACGGGUGAGUAACACGUGGAUAACCUACCUAUAAGACUGGGAUAACUUCGGGAAACCGGAGCUAAUACCGGAUAAUAUAUUGAACCGCAUGGGUCAAUAGUGAAAGACGGUUUUGCUGUCACUUAUAGAUGGAUCCGCGCCGCAUUAGCUAGUUGGUAAGGUAACGGCUUACCAAGGCAACGAUGCGUAGCCGACCUGAGAGGGUGAUCGGCCACACUGGAACUGAGACACGGUCCAGACUCCUACGGGAGGAAGCAGUAGGGAAUCUUCCGCAAUGGGCGAAAGCUUGACGGAGCAACGCCGCGUGAGUGAUGAAGGUCUUCGGAUCGUAAAACUCUGUUAUUAGGGAAGAACAAAUGUGUAAGUAACUAUGCACGUCUUGACGGUACCUAAUCAGAAAGCCACGGCUAACUACGUG
rnacentral:rRNA from 1 species